AUGUCCACCUGCCUCUCAGAUCUUAUUAAGGACUACUCCCUUGACUUCCUGGCAUUGCAAGAAACGAUUAAAAAGAAUUUCCAUAAAAGUUACUUUAGAAAGAUUGACCCCUGUGACCUGUUUGAUUGGUGUUGGGUUCCCUCGAUAGGCAAAUCCGGAGGUAUCCUUUGCGGUGUUAAAAAGGAAAAAUAUGAGGUUGUUUCCUGGAAAGUGGGUAAGUUUAUCUUACAAGCCACUAUGCACGAUGUAGAGAGAGAUAUGAUUUGGGCGCUUGUGGUUGUUUAUGGAGCGGCCCAAGAUGAAUUGAAGGAGGAUUUCCUGGUUGAGAUGGCUUCCUUCUAUUCUCAUAUUGAUAUCCCGUAUAUAAUAGGUGGUGAUUUCAAUAUCUUGAGGGGAGGUGAUGACAAGAAUAAAAACAUGAGAUAUAGUUCCUAUAUUGAUAAGUUCAACUCGGUGAUUAAUGCAUUUAGCCUUAGAGAGAUCCACUUAUCUGGGGGCAAAUACACCUGGUCAAACCACCAGGCUCACCCUACCCUUGAGAAGCUAGACAGGGUUCUUAUGAGCUAUUCCUGGGAAGAUUUAUUCCCCUUGGUAUCGGUUCGAAAACUAGUCAGAGACAUUUCUGAUCACAAUCCCCUUCUUCUCUCC
rnacentral:rRNA from 1 species